UGCAUGAAGGCCAGACUAUGUUGCAUGUGAAAUAGGCUACAUAACAUGAAACAUUUAAAAAAUACAAAUGAAAAGGUUUGGUGAAGUUAUAUUCAAAAUGCUCAUGCUGAAAGUUGCCACCAUCAUAACAGCUUGAGUUAAUCAAUACAUUUGGUGGUUACAAUAAUGCUCUCAAAAUGUUCCAAUGCUGUGCCUAUAUUUGAUCAGAUAAUAGGGAGAACAGCUUGAACCCAUUAACGGUGUGAUUGUCCUCCAUGGCAACGCACAUGUAAGUUUCAUUGGGAGUGCAAAUGAUUGGUCAACUGCUGCUGACCGCGCCCUCAACCAUAUACGGAACAAUCAGCACCGGUGAGUACGGGGAUUGAUGCUGCUACCUUCUGUGCGGCGUAGGAAGACAACCAUUGUCUAAUGCGGGGAUGCAGGUGGAUCGGCUGGGCUCAUAACGGCAUGUGAGUCUGAAGUCUGUCCUUCCGGAAGACGAAGAAGUCUGCAGCAUAUCACCUCCAUGUAAAUAUUCAAAAGACCGCAGGAAUUCUGCCCGGAACGUUGUCUUUCUAUCGGGUGUUGGAGCACAGAAUAAUGCCCAGAAUCAUCACACCUGCACUUGACACCCCAGUGGUCAAACUGAUCCAGCAACAGGGCCUCACUCACUCAGACUUGGAACUGCAGCGCACUGACCGAUUAGCCUCCAAGGGUGAUCAAGCAGACUGAUUACAUGUUAUGUUUAAAUAGCUUACAGAUAGGAUUUGUUUGAUUUUUGUCUUUCUGGGCCAUCUGAUUAGUGGUCAAACGUAGCCUACAGCAAUCUGAUAAUCAGCCCUGUUCAAACAAAGUAAAGAGGUAGCCUAUCGGAUACAGAGGAAGCUUCUUAUUCCCACAAUUACAUAUUUUUGUUUGUGUUGAUCCUUUCUUUAGCCAUUUAUCACUUGAGAUGAAAAAUCAUAUCUCUUUUUAGGAGAGAGGCCUGACCAGAAGGGCAGCUUGAGUAUAAAAACAACACAACAAUCCCAUAAUCUGGAUGUGCCAUACAACUCCAUAUAGAGCAUGUGAGGAGGUGGCUCUGGAAGGACCAGGAUGACUGUUGGAUUCCUUCCCCCAUGUUCCUUCUCUUUCUCACAGUGCCACUAAUGUCUUCUCGACCCGGUGCUAGUGUUUUAAUUGCCGUGAGAAGAGAGACAGAGAUUACCUUGAUUGCCACUGGCCAUUAGACCAUUACAUGUUAACGGGAAAUUAAUUAUCAGUGAAGGGAUGGCAGGUAGCCUAGCGUUUAAGAGCGUUGGGCCAGUAAGCGAAAGGUUUCUGGUUUGAAUCCCCCGAUAAGAGCAACUGCUAAAUGAUUCUAAUGUGAAUGUAUGAUGGCGGGGGUAGAAAGACUGGUCUCUCUUUUGGUUGCCAUACGGUGAAUCCAAACAAUAGUAAAACACACUGAUUUCUUAGUUCAAUUCAUCUCUAUCUAGAAGCAGAUGAGAGGA
rnacentral:lncRNA from 13 species